AUUAGAGUUUGAUCCUGGCUCAGAGCGAACGUUGGCGGCGCGCCUAACACAUGCAAGUCGAACGCGAAAGGUUUCGGCCGAGUAGCGUGGCGCACGGGUGAGUAACACGUGAGUAACCUUCCCUCGAGCCUGGGAUAACACCCCGAAAGGGGUGCCAAUACCGGAUAAGACCACGUCCUCUCCGGAGGAUGAGGGAGAAGGCGGGGACCCGAGAGGGCCUGCCACUUGAGGAUGGGCUCGCGACCUAUCAGCUAGUUGGUGAGGUAACGGCUCACCAAGGCGAAGACGGGUAGCUGGUCUGAGAGGAUGAUCAGCCACACUGGAACUGAGACACGGUCCAGACUCCUACGGGAGGCAGCAGUGGGGAAUUUUGCGCAAUGGGCGAAAGCCUGACGCAGCGACGCCGCGUGUGCGAUGAAGGCCUUUGGGUCGUAAAGCACUGUCGGACGGGACGAAAGCCAGUCGGCUAAUAUUCGGCUGGGUUGACGGUACCGUUAAAGGAAGCACCGGCUAACUCUGUGCCAGCAGCCGCGGUAAGACAGAGGGUGCAAACGUUGCUCGGAUUUAUUGGGCGUAAAGCGCGUGUAGGCGGCACGCCAAGUCGACUGUGAAAGCCCUUGGCUCAACCAAGGAAGUGCAGUUGAUACUGGCGAGCUCGAGUCCCGAAGAGGAUGGCGGAAUGCUCAGUGUAGAGGUGAAAUUCGUAGAUAUUGGGCAGAACACCGGUGGCGAAGGCGGCCAUCUGGGAGGGUACUGACGCUGAGACGCGAAGGCGUGGGGAUC
rnacentral:rRNA from 1 species